rnacentral:lncRNA from 1 species
GCCCAUUUUUCUUUGACAUGUUCAGAUGUUGGCAAGGCUGAAAACUGCAGGGGAUCUGGUUGUGAUAAUCCAGGCCUGAAUAUAUACAAAUAUGAACAAGACCCACAAGGACUGCUCAUCACCCCAGUAUUCCAUUUACAACAUCCUGAAUGAACUCCCGACCAGGCCUAUAAUUCUCUCUUGCAGCCAAAUAUCCUGCUUACUCCUGGUAUCUACCUGGUCAGCAGACCUCAUGAGUUAUCGCCCAGUGACAAAACCAUCCCAAAGAUGCACCAGUCCAGCACAAAGUAUGACUGUCAAUCUCACAAAAGAUGUAGGGUUCUACGAGGAUACUCAGAGUAUAAGAAUUACGCUAAGUGAAAUAAGCCAAGCCCAGAAAGACACAUACUUUAUUAUUUCAUGUAUCUGUGGAAUCUAAAAGAGUCAAAUUCAUGGCAGCAGGGAGAGGGCUGAAGAAGGGGGAGAUGUUGAUCAAAGUUUCUAUGUAUACAAAGACCAAACCAUCACAUUAUGCCUCAUAAAUAUAUACAAUUAUUAUUUGCUAAUUACAAGUAAAGCAAUACAAGAAGAAAAAAAGGAAUCAUAAGUAAAUCCAUGACAAGUGAAAACGCAAUGGAGAGAAGGGAAUCAAUGAUUGAAGAAGAGAAAGG